CGCUGAAAAUUUUUCAGCUGCGGGUGGGUCUGGUAUCGAACAACUAUUCAUUUUGAAUCUUGCCCUGAAUCUGGCAAGAUGGUAACUAAACCAAUCACAACGCAGAGAUGUGUUUUGAAUCAACGCGGGCGGGGCAGAUGGUUCUGGGGCGGGGUUUUGAGGGAGUGACGACAUAGCAGUGAGACGCUGGGCAGUGGAGAAAGCACAAGAAAGAUGGCGGCGGCAAUGGAACAGCGCUCGUUUGAUUCUGCAUUGGCAUCAGUUUUGGAAGAAUUAGACUUGGGGUUUUCGUUAAAACGUGAGCAAGAGGAGGCUCUACGUUCAUUCAUUUUUAAGAAGGACGUUUUCGCCGUGUUACCGACAGGCUAUGGCAAAAGUCUUAUCUACCAGUUAGCUCCACUGGUAGCCAAAAUGAUGGGGCUCUUUGAAAACCCGAUGGUAGUACCGGUAGUCGUCUCGCCCUUGUUAGCCCUAAUGGUAGACCAGGUGAAGGAGGCGAGCAAUUUUGGACUCACUGCCAUGCAACUGGGCGUCGAUAACCCAGCAAACAUAAAAAUAUGUCGUCAGUGCCAGUUGGUCUUCGGAGCAGUCAGGAGGCAUGGCUUUUGCUGAACGCGACGUGUUGUCUUCCAAGACAAGGUCCUCGGAGUGGACGAGGUUCACCUCAUAUAAUGGGGGAAACGUGACAAAGGGAAGGCCUUCAGGUAUUGUUUUGGCAAGCUAGGAGAACACAUCUGACAGACAAAAAGGUUUCAUCAAAGACACACAGACAGCUCCUGAAGUAAAGGACCUACACAGGACCUUCAUAUCAAGGACAUUGACUGUGUGGAUCUCGAGGUGCAGUUACCCAAAAGUUGCUACCCACGGAAUACCAGGUUUUGAGGGAUCCUGCCAGAGCAGAGAAUCAACAGAUACAUUGAAGAGGAGACUCCGACAUGACCGCCGGCAUCUUGUGUUAUUCACCCCCACCACUUGUAAUACUGAAUGCCUGAAUUGUUGUUUGCUGCUCAGACUUUGUCAACAGAUAUGGUC